rnacentral:rRNA from 1 species
CAUGUGGUUUAAUUCGAUUGAUACGCGAGGAACCUUACCUGGGUUUAAAUGGGGAGUGACAGCUGUCGAAAGAUGGUUUUCGUUCGGACACUCUUCAAGGUGCUGCAUGGUUGUCGUCAGCUCGUGCCGUGAGGUGUCGGGUUAAGUCCCAUAACGAGCGCAACCCACGUCGUUAGUUGCCAACAGGUCAAGCUGGGAACUCUAACGAGACUGCCGGUGUAAACCGCGAGGAAGGUGUGGAUGACGUCAAAUCAGCACGGCCCUUACAUCCAGGGCUACACACGUGUUACAAUGGUCGGUACAGAGGGCAGCUACCAGGGCAACUGGAUGCGAAUCUCAAAAACCGGUCUCAGUUCGGAUUGGAGUCUGCAACCCGACUCCAUGAAGCUGGAUUCGCUAGUAAUCGCGCAUCAGCCAUGGCGCGGUGAAUACGUUCCCGGGCCUU